UACGUAGGGGGCGAGCGUUGUCCGGAGUUACUGGGCGUAAAGCGCUUGUAGGCGGUCCACCAAGUUUGGGGUGACAGUUGCCGACUUAAUCGGCAAAGUGCCUCAAAGACUGGCGGACUUGAGGGCCACAGAGGGACAUGGAACUCCAGGUGUAGUGGUGAAAUGCGUAGAUAUCAGGAGGAACACCGGCGGCGAAGGCGGGUCUCUGGGCCAUAACUGACGCUGAGGAGUGAAAGCGUGGGGAGCGAACAGG
rnacentral:rRNA from 1 species